UAUCAGGCACUCAGCCUGGCCAGGGGCAAAGGGAGCUUUCCCUGCUCGGGAACUCGCAGGCUAAUCCCCGCCGUUUAGCGCCAAGCAAAUCACAUCUGGGAUGCAGACUAAACCAACCCCACCGGUAGGAAGCCCCCUGGAUCUGGCUAUGAAGGCUCAGAUUGAGGUACCCGGCCUCCCUUACAAGCUUUCGCCUCCUUUUGCACACACUGCAGUUAACACACACACACACACACACACACACACACACCCUUCCUUCCCCAGGGCAGCGGCCUGAGACCACAACGUUCAGAACAGAGACAACUUCCUUGCUGUUGUGGGCACACUGCAGGGGAAGAGAAAAGAUCUCAUCCAGCUUUAUGGGAAAUGCGGAUGGAUGCAAUGACCACUAGGCUUCUCAGGAGGAGGAAGCCUCUCAAUUCCACUGAAGCAUCUCCAUCUUUUAUAUUUAUUUUUGGAUAGUACGCAAUUGUCAGCUUAUCAAGUCCCAGUAACAUUCUGAGACUACGAAACUAACUCAUCAUGAAGCUUAUAGAAGACUGGCAGGACUUCAGCUAGUGCAGCUACCCCACUGACAAGAAGCACUGCAGUAGUCCUAAGAAUCACAAUGUUUGUGUAUCACAUAUGCAAUUUUAUCAUUCAAAACUUCAGCAAUUUGUUCUCCUGGUAUAAUAGCAUUCAGCAUGCAUACCCUUAUAACAAUGAGGACAAAGCCAUAUGUAUUUUUUAAAUGUAAUAUUAGAUUAUGAAAAACUAUUGGAAUUGCUUAGAGGGUAAAAACAUCCUGCUCUCUUGCCCAAUUUCUGAUGAAGUGAGCUGUAGCUCACAAAAGGUUGUGCUCAAAUAAAUCUGUUAGUCUCAAAGGUG